AAUGACAUAAUAUGUGUCAGAGGUGAUAUGUUGUGAUAGCUGGGUGAAGAAGUACAGUAUUAAAUCACAAGCCAUGAGUCUUAAGCCCAGUGUGUAAAGACACAUUCUGAGUUAUAACACAGAGGCAUAACU